rnacentral:lncRNA from 10 species
AAAAAACAGCAACAACAAAAAGCAGGAUUUGAUUUGCAUCACCUGUGAAGCUGUGAAUAACGAAUAGCACAUCUAAGUUUUGCCACUUAGAUUGUUGCUACCAGUGUGGACCAGCAGCCUCAGCACCACCUGUAUGCUUGUUAGAGAUGAAGCAUCACUGGUCUCACCUCAAACCUACUGAAUCAGAGUUUGCCUUUAACCAAGACCCCAGUCCCCUUUGCAGUUUGGAUUAAGCAUGUUACUUUGGAUCCACCUAUCAGAUGUGCCCGCUUCAGAUAUUGACUCAGAAGCUAGUAAUGAGAUGAAGAUGAGACCAUUUGUGCUCUGCAGAAAAAAUACCCAACUUGCAGUGGCAGCUGCUCCAGUGACAGCUUUCAUUAUGUAUGCAGCAGUUCAAAUGGAACAAAAAAGAGCCCAUAUAACCAAGACAAUCCUGAGCAAAAAGAGCAAAGCUGGAGGUGACGGCAUCACACUACCUGACUUCAAAUAUACAACAGGGCUAUGGUAACGAAAACAGCAUGGUACUGGUAUGAAAACAGGCACAUAGACCAAUGCAACAGACAGAGAAUUCAGAAAUAAGACUGUGCACCUACAACCAUCUGGUCCUCAACAAACCUGGCAAAAAUGAUCAAUGGGGGAAAGUAUUCCCUAUUUAAUAAAUGGUGCUAGGAGAACUGGCUAGCCAUAAGCAGAAAAUUGAAACUGGACUCUUUCCUGACAGCUUAUACAAAAAUUAACUCAAGGUGGGUUACAGACAUAAAUGUAAAACCCCAAACUCUAAAAACCCUAGAAGAAAAUCUAGGCAAUACCAUUCAGGACAUAGGCACUGGCAAUGAUUUAAUGAUGAAAACGCCAAAAGCAAUUGCAACAAAAGCAAAAAUUGACAAAUGGGACCUAAUUAAACUAAAGAGUUUCUGCACGGCAAAAAAAGAAAAAAAAAAGAAACCUAUCAAUAAUCAAAGUGAAGAAACAACCUACAGAAUGAGAGAAAAUUUUUGCAAUGUAUCCAUCUGACAAAAGUCUAAUAUCCAGAGUCUAUAAGGAAGUUAAGCAGAUUUACAAGAAAAAAAAUCAACCCCACUAAAAAGUGGGCAAAGGACAUGAACAGACACUUCUCAAAAGAAGACAUUCAUGUGGCCAACCAACAUGUGAAAAAAAGCUCAACAUCACUAAUCAUUGAAGAAAUGCAAAUCAAAAUCACAAUGAGGUACCAUCUCACACCAUUCAAAAUGGCUGCUAAAAAGUAAAAAACAUGCUGGUGAGGUUGUGCAGAAAAGGGAACACUUAUGCAUUGCUGCUGAGAAUGUAUAUUAGUUCAACCAUUGCAGAAAGCUAUUUGGCAAUUUCUAAAAGAACUCAAAACAGAAUUAUUUGACCCAGCAAUUCCAUUAUUGGAUAUAUACCCAAAGGAAUACAAAUCAUUCUACCACAAAGACACAUGCACACAUAUGUCCAUCACAGCACAAUUCACAAUAGCAAAGAUAUAGAAUCAACCUAAAUGCCCUUCAGUGGUAGACUGGAUAAAGAAAAUAUGGUACAGAUAUACCAUGGAAUACUAUGCAGCCGUAAAAAGGAACAAGAUCAUGUCCUUUGCAGGGAUAUGGAUGGAGCUUGAAACCGUUAUCCUCAGCAAACAAAUGCAGGAACAGAAAACCAAAUUUGGUUUUUCAGAAAGCACUGAUAAACCGCUAGCAAGACUAAUCAAGAAAAACAAGAGAGAUGAAAUAUAAAUGCUAAUAUUAGGAAAGGCAGACAAUGACUGCAUCUCUUCCAGAAUAAAAAAUGAUAAGAAAGGGAAUACACUGAAAAAAUUUUUGGCAAUACAUUUGAAAAGUUAGAUAAAAUUAACUUUUUUUUUUGAAAAAUAUAACAUCAAAACUAAUGUAAAAAUAAACAGAUAAUUUGAAGAACUCAUCUAUAAUGAAGAUAUUUAAUAAUAAAUUUGUAAGU